rnacentral:rRNA from 1 species
CCCUUCGGGGACGCGGUGACAGGUGCUGCAUGGCUGUCGUCAGCUCGUGUCGUGAGAUGUUGGGUUAAGUCCCGCAACGAGCGCAACCCUCGUCCUUAGUUGCCAUCAUUUGGUUGGGCACUCUAAGGAAACUGCCGGUGAUAAGCCGGAGGAAGGUGGGGAUGACGUCAAGUCCUCAUGGCCCUUACAGGCUGGGCUACACACGUGCUACAAUGGCGGUGACAGUGGGCAGCAAGCACGCGAGUGUGAGCUAAUCUCCAAAAGCCGUCUCAGUUCGGAUUGUUCUCUGCAACUCGAGAGCAUGAAGGCGGAAUCGCUAGUAAUCGCGGAUCAGCAUGCCGCGGUGAAUACGUUCCCAGGCCUUGUACACACCGCCCAAGGGCGA